AUUGAACGCUGGCGGCAGGCUUAACACAUGCAAGUCGAGCGGUAACAGAGAGAAGCUUGCUUCUCUGCUGACGAGCGGCGGACGGGUGAGUAAUGCCUAGGAAUCUGCCUAGUAGUGGGGGAUAACUUGCCGAAAGGUAAGCUAAUACCGCAUACGUCCUACGGGAGAAAGGAGGGGACCUUCGGGCCUUUCGCUAUUAGAUGAGCCUAGGCCGGAUUAGUUAGUUUGUGAGGUAAUGGCUCACCAAGACCGCGAUCCGUAACUGGUCUGAGAGGAUGAUCAGUCACACUGGAACUGAGACACGGUCCAGACUCCUACGGGAGGCAGCAGUGGGGAAUAUUGGGCAAUGGGGGGAACCCUGAUCCAGCCAUGCCGCGUGUGUGAAGAAGGUCUUAGGAUUGUAAAGCACUUUAAGUUGGGAGGAAGAGCAGUUAACUAAUAUUUGACUGUUUUGACGUUACCGACAGAAUAAGCACCGGCUAACUUCGUGCCAGCCGCCGCAGUAA
rnacentral:rRNA from 1 species